UACGGGGGGGGUAAGCGUUGUUCGGAAUUACUGGGCGUAAAGGGCUCGUAGGCGGCCAACUAAGUCAUACGUGAAAUCCCUCAGCUUAACUGGGGAACUGCGUGUGAUACUGGAUGGCUUGGAUUUGGGAGAGGGAUGCGGAAUUCCAGGUGUAGCGGUGAAAUGCGUAGAUAUCGAGAGGAACACCUGCGGCGAAGGCGGGUUGCUGGGCCGACACUGACGCUGAGGCGCGAAAGCCAGGGGAGCGAACGGG
rnacentral:rRNA from 1 species